CAGCAGCCGCGGUAAUACGGAGGGGGCUAGCGUUGCUCGGAAUCACUGGGCGUAAAGGGUGCGUAGGCGGGUCUUUAAGUCAGGGGUGAAAUCCUGGAGCUCAACUCCAGAACUGCCUUUGAUACUGAAGAUCUUAAGUUCGGGAGAGGUGAGUGGAACUGCGAGUGUAGAGGUGAAAUUCGUAGAUAUUCGCAAGAACACCAGUGGCGAAGGCGGCUCACUGGCCCGAUACUGACGCUGAGGCGCGAAAGCGUGGGGAGCAAACAGGAUUAGAUACCCGAGUAGUCCCUGUCUCUUAUAC
rnacentral:rRNA from 1 species